AGUGAACGCUGGCGGUAGGCCUAACACAUGCAAGUCGAACGGCAGCACAGUAAGAGCUUGCUCUUACGGGUGGCGAGUGGCGGACGGGUGAGGAAUACAUCGGAAUCUACUUUUUCGUGGGGGAUAACGUAGGGAAACUUACGCUAAUACCGCAUACGACCUACGGGUGAAAGCAGGGGAUCUUCGGACCUUGCGCGAUUGAAUGAGCCGAUGUCGGAUUAGCUAGUUGGCGGGGUAAAGGCCCACCAAGGCGACGAUCCGUAGCUGGUCUGAGAGGAUGAUCAGCCACACUGGAACUGCGACACGGUCCAGACUCCUACGAGAGGCAGCAGUGGGGAAUAUUGGACAAUGGGCGCAAGCCUGAUCCAGCCAUACCGCGUGGGUGAAGAAGGCCUUCGGGUUGUAAAGCCCUUUUGUUGGGAAAGAAAAGCAGCAGGUUAAUACCCCGCUGUUCUGACGGUACCCAAAGAAUAAGCACCGGCUAACUUCGUG
rnacentral:rRNA from 1 species